ACCAAGGUUGACCUCAGAUCAGGUAGGAAUACCCGCUGAACUUAAGCAUAUCAAUAAGCGGAGGAAAAGAAACAACAGGGAUUGCCUCAGUAACGGCGAGUGAAGCGGCAACAGCUCAAAUUUGAAAUCUGGCUCUCGGGCCCGAGUUGUAAUUUGCAGAGGAUGUUUCUGGCGAGGUGCCUUCCGAGUUCCCUGGAACGGGACGCCAUAGAGGGUGAGAGCCCCGUCCGGUUGGUCGCUAAGCCUCUGUGAAACUCCUUCGACGAGUCGAGUAGUUUGGGAAUGCUGCUCUAAAUGGGAGGUAUACGUCUUCUAAAGCUAAAUACCGGCCAGAGACCGAUAGCGCACAAGUAGAGUGAUCGAAAGAUGAAAAGCACUUUGAAAAGAGGGUUAAAUAGUACGUGAAAUUGUUGAAAGGGAAGCGUUUAUGACCAGACUUGGGCCGGUUGAUCAUCCAUCGUUCUCGGUGGUGCACUCUGCCGGCUCAGGCCAGCAUCAGUUUGGCUUGGGGGAUAAAGGUUUCGGGAAUGUGGCUCCCUCGGGAGUGUUAUAGCCCGUUGCGUAAUACCUGGGCUAGACUGAGGUUCGCGCUCCGCAAGGAUGCUGGCGUAAUGGUCAUCAGCGACCCGUCUUGAAACACGGACCAAGGAGUCGUCUUCGUAUGCGAGUGUUCGGGUGUCAAACCCCUACGCGUAAUGAAAGUGAACGUAGGAGAGAGCUUCGGCGCAUCUCCGACCGAUCCUGAUGUUCUCGGAUGGAUUUGAGUAAGAGCAUACGGGGCCGGACCCGAAAGAAGGUGAACUAUGCCUGUAUAGGGUGAAGCCAGAGGAAACUCUGGUGGAGGCUCGCAGCGGUUCUGACGUGCAAAUCGAUCGUCAAAUAUGGGCAUGGGGGCGAAAG
rnacentral:rRNA from 2 species